GAGCUUUUUUAUUUUAAGAAGAAGAAGAAGAAAAGAAGAGAACGUGGGUGAGAGGAAGCUGGUGCAUGGGAAGGAAAAGUUCAUUCUGUUGCUGCAGGAUUUAAAAAAAAUAAAAUAAAAACCAAAACUAAUCAACACAUUAUUUCUUCAUGGGGCAUCGAACUGUGCAGGACAGACCUGAGUGCCCGAGCACACAUCCUCUCUGCAUGGACAGUCACUAAGGACUUGGAGACAUUCAUUGCGCGCGAGAUCAGGGAUUCCCUUACAACCUUAGGGACGACCAGUGAAGUGAAGAAAGACCAGGACGCACGCAUGCUUUCUUUGAUCAGACAGCUCCUCCAGGUUCCUCUCUGCGUUCCUGCAGGCGUGAGACAUCGAGGAGACAUUUCAACGACCAUGCAUUUCCUCCUGCGUCCUCAGAUGUUUUCCAUCUGGAUCACACUAUUUUCUGGGGCUACAGCUGAGCUCACAUGUGACACUCUGCUCCUGCUCUCCACCAACCUCACAGCCCGCACCUUAAUACUAUGGAAUCAGACAGCAAGCUCAAGUAAUACCACAGGUUUAUUCUGUAAUAUAUCUAUAGAUGGCAUUGGGACGUGUUGGCCCAGGAGCAGCGCAGGGGAAAUAGUAGCACGUCCGUGUCCUGAGACCUUCUUGGGUGUCCGCUACAACACCACCAAUAACGUCUACAGAGAAUGUCUUGCCAAUGGAACUUGGGCGAAGAAGGGGAAUUAUUCUCAGUGUCAGGAAAUUCUCAAUGAAGAGAAAAAGAGCAAGCUGCACUACCAGAUUGCCGUGAUUAUAAACUACCUAGGCCACUGCAUCUCUCUCGGAGCCCUGCUGGUUGCCUUCAUUCUCUUUCUGAGGCUGAGGAGCAUCCGCUGCCUGAGGAACAUCAUUCACUGGAAUCUGAUUACAGCUUUCAUCCUACGCAAUGCUACAUGGUUCGUCGUGCAGCUGACCAUGAACCCAGAGGUGCAUGAGAGCAAUGUGAUCUGGUGCAGGCUGGUUACAGCAGCGUAUAAUUACUUUCAUGUGACCAACUUUUUCUGGAUGUUUGGUGAGGGCUGCUAUCUGCACACAGCCAUCGUGCUCACUUACUCCACCGAUAAGCUCAGGAAGUGGAUGUUCAUCUGUAUCGGCUGGUGUAUCCCCUUUCCUAUCAUCGUUGCAUGGGCCAUUGGUAAGCUGUAUUACGACAAUGAAAAGUGCUGGUUUGGAAAACGAGCUGGCGUUUAUACCGACUACAUCUACCAGGGCCCCAUGAUUCUUGUUCUUCUGAUCAACUUUAUUUUCCUUUUCAACAUUGUGAGGAUUCUGAUGACAAAACUAAGAGCCUCUACCACAUCAGAGACUAUUCAGUACAGGAAAGCAGUGAAGGCCACUCUGGUCCUGCUGCCUCUCCUCGGCAUCACCUACAUGCUUUUCUUUGUCAACCCUGGAGAGGACGAGAUCUCCCAAAUCGUCUUCAUCUAUUUCAAUUCUUUCCUGGAGUCCUUUCAAGGUUUCUUCGUGUCAGUGUUUUAUUGCUUCCUGAACAGUGAAGUCCGUUCUGCUGUUCGGAAGCGCUGGCACCGUUGGCAGGACAAGCACUCAAUCCGGGCACGGGUGGCACGGGCCAUGUCCAUUCCCACCUCACCCACUCGGGUCAGCUUCCACAGCAUCAAGCAGUCAUCCGCUGUCUGAUCUUGAUCUCGAGCACCAAAACUUUCCUUUUAGUGCACUCCCCCUACCAUCCAUUGCUAAGCAACUCCAGGGAACAGCUGCAGUCGAAACAGGGCACUGAAAAAGAAAGCUGAAUCAGGAUUCCUUUCAUUGGCUCGAGAUUAUUAACACAAAGCUGCUACAUUCUCUGAUUAUCCGAUCCUAAUGUCUGGAUGUGAAAGACAUUGAAGGGCAUCGCAGGUUCUUGUUCAGUAUCACAUCUAAGCCUUCUUUUUUUUUUUAUUGAUAGCCUUGUAAUGACAGAAAUCUACUGAUUAUAAAUGAAACUGUAAAAACUAUGUAUCCUGCUUGCAUAAAGCCAAAGUCAUAGUACUCAUCCUAAAUCUUAGAAAAGUAGUAAUGGUUGUAUAAAUAGCCCCUUAUUCAAAGCUUUGAGCUGUUUUGAUUUUUUUAAAAAUGUCCUUAACUUUUUUACCUUUUAAAUUUCCUCACUUUUUGAGAAAGGAAAGCCAACAGGAAGUACUAUAACACUCCGAAUUGCAUCGAAAUUCAUGAUCUGACGAUUCCACCAGCACACCCAGUAUGGACUCAGUUCUAGUCAUAUGUGAAACAAAGAAGUGUACGUUUUUUUAAUAUAUCCAUCAAUAUCACGUCCCUAUAUUGUAACCACUUCAAUACAAUGCAAAAGAUAUAAAUAUAUAUGUGUAUGUAUAUUUGUAUGUAUUGUAGUUCAGUAGAACUCCCAUUUACGAUAGGGUCAGUGUCUGUAUCAGAUUUGUUGGCCGUAGUCCUGUAGACUAUAUUGAGCUUUUUGCAGAAUUAUUUUGUUUUCUUUCUAAACCGUGGAAUGCUUGAUCAUCAUAGGAUCACAUAUAAAGUGUAAACACUUUAUGAAUUCUGUUCUGACCUUUAUUUCCAUAAAAAAGUCAAAGCUGCUGCCUUUUUGUUUUGUUUUUUUCCCCAUUUGGUUCUUCUGCUCGCGUCUGCAGUAGACAUGAACUGUACAGGGCCUAGACCGAGUUGUAUCUUUUAAUGUCCUAAUGUGUGUCUGUUUUUUUGUUUGUUUGGUUCUUUUUUCAUCAAUGUUGUGA